rnacentral:lncRNA from 1 species
AGAAUUAAAAUUAAUUAAAAUUAAAAGUAACUAUAUAUAUUAAUAAAUUCCAAAUGCAACAUACUUAAUUAAAUAGGGUCAAUGAGCAACUAAUGAGAGUAAAGGAAUAGGGAAACAAACUAAGGUAAUGACUCUUCAGCAUCCAAAAUCCAAAGCAAAAGCAUAAACUACCAAUGUAAAGCUAAUCUAGAUUCAGAUCUAAAACUAAAAGUAAUCCUAAUAUCGAUGUAUCUGAAUGUGUGUGGAUGCGUGUCGAGUUUCUGCAUGUUCCCUAGCUUUAAUCUAUAUUUUUGGGCCGAAAACUGGGUCAAAAUGUGGCUCGAAAUCGCCCCCAGCGUAUUCUGUUAUUUUUGCAGAUUGCGCAGGUCACGCGUACGCGUCAUCUACGUGUUCGCGUCAUUCGGCAAUUUUUCUUGUCACGCGUUCGCGUCAUUCAUGCAGACUCCACUCCACGCGUUUGCGUCAGGCACGCGUUCGCGUCGCUGUGAUUUCUUCAUUUCGCGCGUGCACGUGAGCCAUGCGCUCGCGUCAUUGUUUGCUGGUCAUCUCCUUGGUUUCUUGUGUUCCUUUCAUUUUUGCAAGCUUCCUCUCCAUUUUCUAAGCCAUUCCUGCCCUAUGAAGUAUGAAACACUUAACACACAUAUCACAGCAUCGAAUGGGAUAAAAGAGAGUUAAAAUACAUAAUUAAAAGAUCUCUAGAAAGUAAGUUUUUAACCAUGGAAUAAUUUUGGAAAGGAAUUGUAAUAUCAUGCUAAUCAUAUGAAUAAGUGGGUAAAGACUUGAUAAAACCACUCAAUUAAACACAAUUUAAAUCAUAAAAUAAUGGUUUAUCAACAUGCUAAAUGGGUAAAAUUCAUUGAGACAUUUUUAUUUGUGAUUGUCUUUAAACAAGGAAAAGAGAAUGUAGUUGUUGAUACUUUAUCUAGGAGGUAUGCUUUGAUUACUAUACUUCUAAGUUGCUAAAAUUUGAGUUUUCUGCCACUUAUUUGUAUGCCAUUUAUUUUGACUUUUCUGCUAUUUAUACAUCUUGUGAACAUGGUACAUUUAACAAAUUUUAUAGACAUGAACGUUUUCUCUUUCGUGGUAAUAGAAUUUGUGUGCUUGCUUGUUCUAUUAGGGGCUUACUUAUUCUGGAAUCACAUAAUGGGAGUUUGAUGGGUCAUUUUGGUGUGCAUAAGACAUUGGAUGUAUUAUCUGAACAUUUUUACUGGCCACACAUGUGUAGAGAUGUUGAAAAAUUUUGUGCUAAGUGUAUUGCAUGUAAACAUGCUAAAUCUCAGUCUUUACCACAUCACUUGUAUACUCCCUUACCUGUUUCUGUGCAUCCGUGGGUUGAUAUUUUUAUGGAUUUUGUUCUUGAUUUGUCUCAAACUAGGAAAUGUAGAGAUAUUAUUUUUGUUGUGGCAGACAGGUUUAGUAAAAUCACUCAUUUUAUUGCAUGCCAUAAAAUGAAUGAUGCAACAAAUAUUGCUGCUUUAUUCUUUAGAGAGGUUGUGUGCUUGUAUGGGAUUUUCCAAACUAUUGUUUCUGAUCGCUACGUAAAAUUUUUGAGUUAUUUUUGGAAAGUGUUAUGGGAUAAAUUGGACAUAAAAUUAUUAUACUCUACUACUUCUCAUCCUCAUAUUGAUGGUCAAACUAAAGUAGUAAAUAGAACAUUAGGGACAUUAUUACGUGCUGUUGUUGGUUAGAAUCUGAAAUCUUGGGAAGAUUGUUUACCUUUUAUUGAGUUUGCUUAUAAUAAAACAAUUCAUUCUUCUACAGGUUUUUCUCCUUUUGAACUUGUGUAUAGUUUUAAUCAUUUAACUGUUUUGAACUUAUUAUCUUCGCCUUUGAGUGAUCUUGUUAGCUUGGAUGCAGAAGGUAAAGCUGAAAAAGUUAAAGCAAUACACUUGAAAGCACAUAAGUUGAUUGAAAAGAAAAACAGGUUGAUAGCUCAAAAGGUGAAUAAAGGUCGAAGACAACUUGUCUUUGAACCUGGUGAUUGGGUACGGGUUCUUGAGAAAUGAGAGGUUUUCUACUAAAAAAAAAUCCAAGUUAGACUCUAGGGUGAUGGUCCAUUUCGGGUGCUCGAAAGAAUCAAUAACAAUACUUACAAGAUUGACCUUCUAGGUGAGUAUAAUGUGUCAGCUACUUUUAAUGUUUCUGACCUAUCUCCUUUUAAUUUGGAUACAGAUUCGAGGACGAAUCCUUUUCAGGAGGGAAGGAAUGAUACGAGUUCUAUGAGACAAACUGUGAAUUGUCAUAUGCCAAUUGGUCCAAUUACAAGAGCAACAACUAAGAGAAUAAAAGAAGAUUUUGCAAACAUGGCUAAAUUAUUUGUUCAGGAGAUGCAUCAAGAAUUGGACAAGGCAAUAGUUAAUUAACGAUUAUGGAAAGCCAAAUGUCUUACUAUUUACAAGUUACAUUGAAGACUCUCGUUAGUCAAGUUGAAUCAAAUAUGCAUCACUUUUUUAGUAUUUAUUUUAAGAUUUAUUUUAUGUUUAUUUUAUUUUGUUUGUUUUAGACCCAAUUAUGAUUUGGCCCAUUUUUAUUUUAGUGAACUUAUGAGUUAGGGUUUUAAAUUUAAGAGGUAUAAAAAUCUUCUAAAAUUUGGUAGCCAUUUUUUUCUUUCAAUUUUUGAUAAAUAAAAAUAUCUUUGAGCUUCUUUGAGAAAUUUGAGUGUAAACAGGUGAAGUAGAAUGAUUCCUUUAACUAUUGGAUCAGAAAAUCAAAUUAAGAUAGAGAAAUCCCUUUCUUUGAUUUUCUAGUUUAUUUUGGAUUCUGUUCCGUAUCAUAUAUAUUUAAGGUUAAUUUAUUACAAGUAGUGCAGGUGGGGUAUCAAAAUUUCAAAAGUUUAAAUCUACUUUUGAAUAUUAAUAUAUUUACACAAUACUAAAGGGCUAAUAAUUUUGCAUUAAUUUAGGCCAAUAUUUAGCUAACAAUUAUAUUCAACAUAUUUUAUUCAUAAACAAAAGAGUCCAGAUGCAAUAACGCAUUUACAUAUACGCUCUUUACUCAAACAAAAACUAAUUCUUUUUCUCACACUUUUCCUCAAAAAUCACUCGCUGAAUCUUAAUCAUCCUUUGCCAGUGUUAACCCAACCUUUCCUCACCUUUUUCACACUCUUUUUCAUCAAUCACUCGCUUAUCUUGAUCUUGUUCCGACUACUUUUCACCGUUGUUAACUAUAACCUUCUUUCACCUUUCCCCACAUUACUCCUCUUCAUCAAUCCCUUUACUUAUGUCACUACUUUAUCAUUGGAGAUAUGAGCACUCACUGAUGAGAGAACUUUUGCGUGGUUUAGAAAUUUGCAGAUAAAUUCUCGUUGUAAGUAUAGUUUUUAAACCAACAAAAGUCCUUUCAUACAAACGUUUUGGUUGUCACAAGUAACAAAUCUCUUUAAAUUUGAUAACCGAGUAUUUAAACCUCGGUCGUCUUCUCAAGAAACUGCAGGGAAGUAUGUUCUUAUUAUUGGUUAUGAAGAUUGUAAAUUGGGGUUUUGAAGGUAGGGAACAAGUAAUUUAAAUUGCAAUUUAAAAUAAGUAAAAGACUCUAAUUUAAAUAAAUAACUGUAAAACACACUUUUGGCAAGAUAUGAGAAAUUAAAAGUCCUAUCCUAGUUAUCCUUAUCAAUGAUGAUGAAAAUUGAAUCUCAAUUCCACUCAAUUAGUCUUUACUUAAAGUAAAGAAAGGUCAAGUGACUAAUUAGUUUGAUCUUCGAAUCCUAGUUAAUCUCUAAGGAAAGAUUGGAAUUAUAGAAGUUCAGUUCAAUUAGCAAAGAUAACAAUUAUCAAUCAUGCUUGAGUUUGAUAACUCCUGAGUUACUGAUUUCUUAACCAAGACCAAAAGGAGAAAAGUAAAUCUACUGGAAUAAAAAAUGUCUUCAGAUGGGAAUAACAAUAAUGUAAAUAAAAGAAAGCAAUAAUAAACUGAAAUACCUCAAAUAACAUUAAUUCAAAGAGUAAUCUGUAAUAUAGAAGAAUUCAUAAAUAAAAUUAGAAAAAUAAUAAAAAGGAAUAUUGAACCUGAUAAAAAGAGAUAAUCCUGAAAGCGCAUAAAAUCCUAAAUCUAAAUCCUAAUCCUAAAGAGAGAGGAGAGAAUCUCCCUCUCAAAACUAAAUCUAAAUCAUGGAAAACUAACUAAUUGGAGACUCUCUUUGAAUGGAUGCAUUCCCCCAAUUCAUAACCUCUGGUCUAUGCCUUCUGGACUUGGAUUUAGGCAAAAAAGGGCUUCAUAAUUCGCUAUGAGUGUUUUCUGCAAUUUCUGGUGCGUGGCCUCUGUCACGCGUCCGCGUGGGUCACGUGGUCACGUCAUUCGGAGUUUUUCUUGUCACGCGGUCGCGUCAGUCAUGCGACCGCGUCAUAUGUGUUUCGCUCAAGGCGCGCGGUCGCGUCAGUCAUGCGGCCGCGUCAAUGCCUUUUCGCGCUGGCAUGCGGCCGCGUCGCCCAUGCGAUCGUGUGGCUGCCAGUUUCUUCAAAAACUCUGUUUUGUGCUUUCCUUCCAUUUUUGUAUGUUUCUUUUCCAUUCUUUAAGUCAUUUCUGCCUUAGAAGAUCUGAAACUACUCAACACACGAAUCACGGCAUCGAAUGGAAGUAAAGGGUAAUCAAAAUAAUUAUUUUUAAGCAUAGGAAACAUGUUUUUCACAUACAUCACAUAAUAAGAAAGGAAAAGUAAAACCAUGCAAUUAAUAUGAAUAAGUGGGUGAAGGAUUGAAUAAAUCACUCAGAUUAAGUACAAAAUAUAUCAUAAAAUAUGGGUUUAUCACUCACUAUAAGAAAAAUAUUGAGUACUGUCGAAUUUAUCAUUGCAGAGUUGCGAUAGAUUUAUCGGCGGUAAAGAACUCGAAUUCUUCAGGUUAAAUUAUUAUCGGCAGAUUUACAUUUCUGACAGUAAAUUUACCGGUAAUAAUUGGAGGAAAACAAAAAAAUAGACGAGUAAGUUAGUAUCGAAUUUAACGUCGGAUAAAUUUGCUGGUAAACCCAUUUAGUUAAAACGUUGCGUUUGGUGACCCACAAUAUUGGUUUAUCAUCAGAUUUUUCUGACGGUAAAUUCGACGGUAACAAAUGUGCCAAUUUAAUUGUUUGUUCUCCAAAUAUUAUUGGCGAAUUUACUGUUGAAAAAUAAAAUCUGUUGGUAAUUACUUAACCUUACAAAUUCAAUGUCGUUACUGCUAGUAAAUCCGCCGAUAAAUUCGCUGCUACUCUGCAACGUUAUAUCCGACGUUAAAUCCGAUGGUACUCAACAUUUUUCUUGUAAUGUUUUAAGGAGACUGCUUCGUUAACCCUGCCGUCAGCCCCACCGCUGCCUCCUCAAUCCGUCUCUCUCUAACCCUCACCCUCUCGCCGCCAUCCAGUUCUGCCAGCCGCCACCAAUAGUGCCAGCCACCACCAAUAUUUUUCUGUCCACCUCUGUGUUUGCAUUCUUCGGUAAAUAAAAUUUGUUUAUUUCGUUAAAUUUAGGAUUAAUUUUAGUUUUAGUUGUUAAUUAGUAUACUGAUUUAGUUAGAAAUAAUUUUUCUGUUUAGUGAAUUUACAUGGUGAAGAUAAAAUUAGAUUAGUUUAUUAGACUUUUGUGAGUUUUAGUGCUGUAAUAAUGUGAUAUUGUUAUUGUUAGUUGUGCUGUUGGUUUUGAAUUGAAAUUGAAUUUUGUUAAUUAGUGAUGCUCAAAUUUGAAUGCAUAUACUUCACAUAGUUCAAGUUAUUCUGUUCAAAUAGGCAUAUUGCUAAAUGUUUCUGAAGUUGGUUAAAUUUACUUAUAUAUAGGUCAAUUUUUGGUUAAACUAAUUUUAUCUGUCUAAUUAAAUAAUUAAUUUUCUAUCAUUCUAGUAGUUCUUUAUUUUAUGCAUAGUGAGUGCAAUUAAUUAUAUCAUAUUUUCCAAGGUUCUAAGAAUCGGACCGGUCAUUGAACCGAUCAACUGACUGGUUCAAUAGUUCACUGGUUUGACUGGAGUCGAACCGUGGUUAAACCGGUUUAAUUAAAUAUACAGUGAAAUUAUAAAAAAAAUUCAAUAUACACNNNNNNNNNNNNNNNNNNNNNNNNNNNNNNNNNNNNNNNNNNNNNNNNNNNNNNNNNNNNNNNNNNNNNNNNNNNNNNNNNNNNNNNNNNNNNNNNNNNNNNNNNNNNNNNNNNNNNNNNNNNNNNNNNNNNNNNNNNNNNNNNNNNNNNNNNNNNNNNNNNNNNNNNNNNNNNNNNNNNNNNNNNNNNNNNNNNNNNNNNNNNNNNNNNNNNNNNNNNNNNNNNNNNNNNNNNNNNNNNNNNNNNNNNNNNNNNNNNNNNNNNNNNNNNNNNNNNNNNNNNNNNNNNNNNNNNNNNNNNNNNNNNNNNNNNNNNNNNNNNNNNNNNNNNNNNNNNNNNNNNNNNNNNNNNNNNNNNNNNNNNNNNNNNNNNNNNNNNNNNNNNNNNNNNNNNNNNNNNNNNNNNAAGAAGUUGAAUAAGGAUUUUGAUAAUAAGUUAUAUUAAUGUUUCAUAUGUUUUAAGAGUGAAAAUGACAGUAAAUUAAAAAAAAAAUCAAGUAUGAGAUCAUUUUAAAUGACUUAAGGAUGACUUCUUCUUUGUAUAUGGACAAAAUUAUACAUGUAGUAAUAUAUAUUACUAAAUAUUUGUGAAGUUGGAAUGUACACUUACCUCUUUUGUUUUAUUUGAUUUCAACAGAUAAUGUAUUUCUUUAACUAAGUUCAACGUAGUUUAUUUUGAUUAAACAUUUUGAAUGAUGUUGUGAAUAUGUUUUGCAUAUUUUUAAUUGGUAUGCUCUUUGUAGAUAUGAUGACAGGUAGAGGUUGUUGAGUUUAGGAAACAAUAAAAUUAAUGAUGAUGACAAACAUAGAUUUUAGUUGGGUUAAAAGUCCAAUUGGGUUUGAUCUUUGCAUUUAAUGUUGCAAGCCCAUGUUUCAUUGUGAAGCCUAAACAAAGAAGACAAACAACCCAACUAGAUGAACGAAAUACAACCAAGACUGCUAAAUAGAGAUGAGUCCAUAAUCUAGCCCAUUGCCAUUCAAGAAAAAGAAAAGCAACCACCAGCUGGUGGUGUUAUGGUGUUUCGGGUAAUUAAAGCACAAGAAGAAAGAGAAAAGUUCACCUUUUCACUAAGCAUCAAAGAAGAAAAAGGUGUUUCACUUUUUCAUUAAGCACCAAAUCAGAAGAAAGAAAAGUAAAUCAAGAAAGUUAGGUCAAAUCAAAAUCAACUGGCACAAAUUAAGCAUAAUCAGAAGAUAAAAGAUAAAUUAUUUCCAUUAAUAUGCAAGUCAAUUACUUGUUGAUUUCUCCUUUCCUCUGCACAACCAUUUCAGGCAAUAUAAAGAAAGUGGUGCCUACUUUACUCUGCUGUGAAUCAAUGACUAAUAAUGAAACUUGGGGCCAAAGAACAAAAUUAAGGAUUUGGAUUUGGCAAACUCAUUAAGAAAGCAAGUUGAUGCUGGUCAUCUCUCUACUGUUAUGCUUAACUCUGAUUCUAAAUCCCUGAUUUUUUGGUUUGAGUGAAGAAAAGGAAAGGAAGACUUCAGCUAAUUCAAGAUUCAAGGAGUUGACUUAGGAAUGAAAACCCUAGCCGUGGCUACAGGACUCCAUACAAAAAGAAAAAUCACUCCAGUUUGCAAGUAAGGAGAGAGAACCAGAAUUCAUGUUUCAUGAGAGCUUCUCUACUGUUCUUGCUCAAAUUUUUUGGAUAGUAUUUCUACAUAAAAGAAAUAUUCCACCAAGAUAGAGAGCUACAUCUGAGAGUGCUGAAUCCAGUUCAUCUUAUAGCUUCAGAGCUAUUCUACAUCAUCUCCUUCAUGGUUUAUUAUUGAAUAUUCUGUUUGUAUGCUGUAUUUUUCUUUAUUUCUAUUCGGUGGUAAAAGGCAUAUAAGUGAGGCAUUAAGAGAUCCGUCAUGGUAGAUGACGGUCUUCUCUAGAAUCCUCUUGAGUUCCCUGUUGGAAACCUCAACAUGUCCACUUGUCUGAGGGUGAUAAGAGGUUGCCACUUUAUGGCAGACUCAUAUCUCAGCAGAAGUGAGUCCAGCUGUCUGUUACAGAAGUGACUUCCACCAUCACUAAUGAGUGUCCUUGGGACACCAAACUGGCUAAAAAUAUAUAUCUGAAGAAAGCUCAUCACCACUUUGGCAUCAUUGGUGGGCAGAGCCACAGCUUCCACCCACUUGGACACAUAAUCAACUGCCACUAGAAUAUAGUUGUUGGAGUAUGAGGGUGGGAAAGGUCCUACGAAAUCAAUACCCCACACAUCAAAUAACUCAACCUCCAGUAUUCCCUGCUAUGGCAUCUCAUGAUUGGCAGGGAGAUUCUUAGCUCUUUCAUGCCUGUCACAGUGCUUCACAAAUUCUCUUGAAUCCCUGAAGAGGGUCGGCCAGUAGAAACCGCUCUAAAGAACCUUUAUAGCUCUCCUUUCACCACCAAAGUGGCCUCCAUAAUCAUAACCAUGACAGUGCCAAAGAAUCUAUUGUGUUUCCUCAUCUGGAACACAUCUCCGGAUUAUACCAUCUGAACAUCGUUCAAAAAGGUACGAUUCCUCCUAAAUGUAGUACUUUGCAUCAGUCAGUAGCUUCUUCACUUGUUGUUUACUGUACUCCUUUGGAAUAAAAUUCAUGGCCUUGUAAUUUGCAAUGUCUGCAAACCAUGGAGCCUGCUGAAUGAGGAACAACUGCUCAUUUGGAAAUGUCUCACAGCUGUGGGUGGUUGUACUCCUGCCUCAGGCUCAAUUUCUAGAAAGAUGGUCAGCUACUUAGUUUUCUGACCCUUUCCUGUCUUUUAUCUCAACAUCAAACUCCUGAAGGAGCAACACCCAUCUGAUUAAUCUUGGUUUAGAAUUCUGUUUGGUUAGAAGGUACUUCAAAGAAGCAUGAUCAGUAAAACAAUAAAGUUAAAACCAAUUAAAUAGGACCUAAACUUAUCAACAGCAUACACAAUAGCUAAUAAUUCUUUUUCUGUAGUUGUAUAAUUCCUUUGGGCAUCAUUUAACACACGGUUAGCAUAGUAAAUGACAUGUAUAAGCUUGCCAUGCCUCUGUCCUAAAAUAGCUCCUAUAGCAAAAUCACUAGCAUUACACAUUAAUUCAAAUGGUAAAUCCCAGUCAGGGGCAGCUAUAAUGGGAGCAGAGGUAAGGUUUGCUUUCAGAGUUUCAAAAGCAUGCAGGCAUUCAACAUCAAACACAAAAGGAACAUCAAUAACUAAUAGAUUGCUCAAUGGUUUAGCAAUUUUUUAAAAAUCCUUUAUAAAUCUUCUAUAAAAUUCUGCAUGACCUAAGAAACUCCUGACUGUCUUAACAUUAGCUGGUGGUAGUAAUUUUUCAAUUACCUCCACCUUUGCUCUGUCAACUUCAAUUCCUUUACUUGAAAUCCGGUGUCCAAGAACAAUACCUUCUGUAACCAUAAAAAGACAUUUUUCCCAAUUCAAAACAAGGUUUGAUUCUUGACACCGUUUCAAGAACAGAGAUAAAUGAUUAAGGCAGGAUUCAAAAGAAUUACCAAAAAUAGAAAAAUCAUCCAUAAAUACCUUAAUAAACUUUUCAACCAUAUCAGAAAAAAUAGAAAGCAUACACCUCUGAAAAGUUACUGGAGCAUUACAAAGUCCAAAUGGCAUUCUUCUGUAAACAAAUACUCCAAAAGGGCAUGUGAAUGCUGUCUUCUCUUGAUCUUGAGGGUCCAUUGCAAUUUGAUUAUAUCCAGAAUAUCCAUCUAGAAAACAAUAAAAAGCAUGACCAGCUAACCUCUCAAGCAUCUGAUUAAUGAAAGGCAGGGGGAAGUGAUCCUUCCUUGUAGCAGUGUUGAGCCUCCUGUAGUCUAUGCACAUUCUGCAUCCUGUUACUGUUCUUGUAGGAAUAAGUUCAUUCUUUUCAUUCUUGAUCACUGUCAUCCCUCCUUUCUUGGGAACUACCUGCACAGGACUUACCCAAGGGCUGUCAGAAAUAGGAUAAAUAAUGCAUGCUUCCCAUAGUUUCAUUACCUCUUUUUGGACCACCUCUUUCAUAGUUGGAUUGAGUCUCCUUUGUGGUUGCACAACCGGUUUAGCAUCAUCUUCAAGAAGGAUCUUGUGCAUACACUUGGUUGGACUAAUCCCCUUUAAAUCACCAAUGGUCCACCCAAGAGCUGUUUUAUGACUCCUGAGCACUGCAAUAAGCGCCUCUUCCUCUCCAGGCUUCAAGGAAGAGCUAAUGAUCACUGGAUAUGACUCAUUUUCACCUAGGAACACAUAUUUCAGAGAAGGAGGCAAAGGUUUUAGCUCAAGCUUGGGGACUUCCUUCUCUACUAUAGGCGUGCUCUUCAGCUCUUUCUGGGGUGGUGAAUCAUCAACUUCAACUAACUCAUACUCAGAAAUAGGAUCCAGAAUAUCAUUAAGUACCUCAGCUUCCAGUACCUCUUAAACUAGUGGUUCAACAACAUCAACUCUCAUACAUCCUUCAGAAUCAUUAGGGUGUUUGAGAGCUUCAAAUACAUUAAGGACCACCUGCUCUUCAUUAACCCUAAGGGUUAAUUCACUAUUUUGCACAUCAAUCAAAGCUCUACCUGUAGCUACAAAGGGUCUACCAAGAAUAAUAGAGGAUUUUGCAUCCUCUUCCAUGUCUAAUAUAACAAAAUUACCAGGAAAAAUAAAUGGUCCUACUUUCACAAGUAAAUCCUCAACAACACCCACAGGAAAUUUAAUGGAAAGAUCAGCAAGUUGAAGAGAAAUACAAGUGGGUUUUAUCUCCUCAAUUUUGAGCUUUUUCAUCACUGAAAGUGGAAUGAGAUUGAUGCUAGCUCUAAGAUCACAUAAAGCUCUAUGAAUGGUGAUAUCUCCAAUGGUGCAAGGAAUGACAAAGCUCCCUGGAUCUUGCAUCUUCUCAGGAAAGUUAUGUUGAAUAAUAGCACUGCACUCCUUGGUUAACACCAAUGUCUCUUGUUCCUUUCAAUUCCUCUUGUUGGUCAAUAAUUCUUUCAUAAAUUUAGCAUAGAGAGGCAUUUGCUCAAGAGCCUCUGCAAAAGGAAUGUUGAUCUGCAGUUUCUUGAAGACUUCUAAAAAUCUAGAAAAUUGCUUGUCCUUGGAAGCCUUCUGAAGCCUUUGAGGAUAUGAUAAUUUUGGCUUGUACUCAGGAGCCUUGGGCAAUGUAGGAUAAGUGUCAAGAGAGUCUGAAAAUGGGUUGUUUGCACGCUUUGGAUGGGCGUGUUCUACUUCUUCCUUCUUCUCCUCUGGAGCUUCUUUUUCAACUAGGUCAUCAUUGACCUUGGCCUCAGAACCAGCUACUUUACCACUUUUCAACUCAAUAGCCUUGCAAUCUUCUCUUGGGUUCACCACUGUAUCACCAGAAAAUGUACUUGAAGACCUCUCAGGUAUUUUCUUGCUCAACUGGCCUAUUUGCACCUCCAAAUUUCUAAUGGAAGCUCUGGUUUCCUGCAUAAAGCUAUUCAUCAUUGUCUCCCAAAUAGAAUUCUAUUAGGGCUGAGAAUUUGCCUGCUGAGGUGGUUGUUGUUGAUGAGACUGAAAUUGGCAGUUAUUAUGAUUAUUCUACUGAAAACCGCCUUGAGAAUUAUUCUUAAAAUUUUAAGAUCUCUGAGAUUGGUCUCUCCACCCAAAAUUUGGGUGAUUUCUCCACCCUUGAUUGUAGGUCUUAGAGUAUGGAUCAUUAUUGGGAUUUCUAGGACCAUUCCCCAUGCAAUUGGCAUGUUCAGAAGAAGAUUAAGUAUAAUCAUAAUUCUCAUUUUGCAUAAAGUUACCUAUCAUGUCAUAAGAGGCUUCUUGGGGUGCAUUCUGAGUGUUGACAGCUGAAACUUGCAUUCCACUCAACUGUUGAGUAAUUAGACUUAUUUGCUGAGAUAAAAGUUUGUUCUGAGCAAGAAGAGCAUCAACAGCUUCUAUUUCCAAAACACCUCUCUUCUGGAAAGUUUUAGAGUGCACAAGAUUCCUGUUGGAGGAAUAUAAGUAUUGGUUAUUAGCAACCAACUCAAUAAGCUCAAUAGUCUCCUCUGGUGUCUUCUUCAUGUGUAAAGAACCACCUGCAGAAUUAUCUAAGCGCAUCUUGGACAUUUCACAUAGGCCCUCAUAAAAGAUAUCCAGCUGAGUCCAUCUAGAGAACAUGUCUGGAGGGCAUUGCCUAGUCAGUAGCUUGAAUCUCUCCCAAGCUUCAUAAAGGGUCUCACCAUCUUUUUGUCUGAACGUCUGAACCUCUACCCUUAGCUUAGUCAGCUUUUGAGGUGGGAAAAAUUUAGUCAGAAAUCUAGUGACAACCUUAUCCCAAGUAUCCAGACUCUCCUUGGGUUGAGAAUCUAACCACAGCUUUGCUCUAUCCUUCACAACAAAUGGGAAGAGCAUGAGUUUGUACACCUCAGGGUUCACUCUAUUAGUUUUUACAGUAUCACAAAUCUACAAAAAAUCAGAAAUAAAUUGAUUUGGAUCUUCCUGAGGGAGUCCAUGAUACUGGCAAUUUUGUUGCACAAGAGUAACUAGUUGUGGCUUCAGUUCAAAGUUGUUUGCCGCUAUAGGAGGCACCACAAUACUUUUGCCAUAGAGAUCUGGAUUAGGACCAGUAUAAGAGCCAAGCACUCUUCUAGGUUGCUCAUUUCUACUCAGAUUUGCCAUAUUGCCAUUAGCAGCAUUAUUAUGAUCCAUAGUGGACUCUGCAGCCUUGUAAAGUCUUGCUUGUUGCAAACGCUGCCUCAAAGUCCUUUCAGGUUUAGGAUCAAAGUCUAACAGAGGUUCCAUGUCUCUGUUCCUGCUCAUAAAGAGACAGAAGACAAGAAAAAUGGGAUUCUCUACGUCAGAAUGUAGAGAAGUCCCAGUGAAGUAACCUGUGUAAAAGAUAAGAUGAAAUAAACUGAACAACUAAAACAAAAAUUUAAAAUUCACUGAACAAAGAUUGGGAAUAAAAUAUAUAUAUAUAUAUUUAUUUAUUUUAAAGAAUUAAGAGAAAUAAAAAAAUAAAUAAAAUUAACUAGGGGAUACCAAACUUAAUUUCAGAGAUUAAAGAAAAGUUAAUUGAUGAAAAAAAAAAUCAAAGCUAAGAAGCAAAUAACUAAUAAAAUAAACGAAUAAAAUUUGUGUCUGGAACACAAUGAAACAAUAAGAAAUCAAAAUAAAUAAAAAAAAGCAACGACAACAAAGGAAAAUUAAAGUGGACGAAAUGGCUAAAGACUCUUGAAGAACUAAUAAAGAAAAAUGAAAGUUAAAAGGAAAUAAACAAUGGAGCACGAAGACAGGGGGGUUUAAACUAAAUAACAAUUAGAAAAAGAAAAGAAAAUGAAAUUGGAAUUUUUAAUUAAAAGAAAAUUAAUUGAAAAAGAAAAAUUAUUUGAUCUAGACAAUCAAACAACUAAUAGUUGUCAAUUACAGUCAAUCUCAGGUAACGGCGUCAAAAACUUGGUGUGGAAUUUACAAUCCACAAACUAAUCGACAAGUGCACCGGUUCGUACCAAGUAGUACCUCAAGUGAAUGAGGGUCGAUCCCACGAGGAUUGAUGGAUCAAACAAAAAUGAUUGAGUGAUUGACUUAGUCAGACAAAUAGAAAAUGGUGUUUUGAAAGUUCAACUGCAUUAAACAGUAAAUCAGAGAAUCAAAAAAGCAAGUAGUAAACAAGUAGUGAAUAAUAUAUGGACAAACAGUUAAGGCUUUAGAGUUAUCUAUUUUCCGGAUUGACUUUUCUUACUAACUAUUUUAAUCAUGCAAGAUUUAAUUCAUGGCAAACUAUAAGUGACUAAACCCUAAUUCCUUAGACCUUUUUAUUCUCCUCUAACCUUCAUUAACCGCCAAUUCCUUGGUCACUUAAUUCCAAUUAGAGGGUGAAGUUCAAUUCUAGUUUAUAUGCCAUAGAAAUCCUAAUUACCCAAAUAUAAGAUGAUUAUAUGUCACGUAUCCCGUUAAGUCCAGAUAAUUAGAGAUUUAGGAGAAUAUGUUUUCAAGCUGUUGUUCAAGUAAAGAGCUUUUCCAAGUUAUACAAGAACUCAAUUAGAACAAAGGUCAUACUUCCGUUCCACCCAGAUUCAUAAGAUAAAGAACGAAAAUAAUUCUUGAAAUAUAAAUCAGUACAUGAAUUAAAAUAGAAAAAUAAUAGUAUCAAUCCAUACAAUAGACAGAGCUCCUAACCUUAACAGUGGAGGUUUAGCUGCUCAUGGUUCAGAGAGAAAACUAGGAUUAUGUAAAACUGUAAAUGACGGAAUGAGGUAGAAGAGAAGAGAAGAGCCCGAAGGGCUGAUUCUUUUCCCUUUUAUAUCUAAUCCUAAUUAAUGCAAAAUAUAAUUCCUAAACUAAAUAAUAUCUUUUCCUAAUUAUAAAAUAAAAUAAAAGUUUAAAUCAAAAUUAUUUUAAUUGAUCCGUGCAGCCUUUGGAACGAAUUGGGGACCACUUGGGUUAGACGAGUUGACGCCAAACUUGGAAAAAUCCAAGUUCGGCGUGGAUUGAUGUGCGUAACUCCCCUUUGUAGUCUUCAAGCUGGCGCUGAACUUGGAGAUCUUCAAGCUCAGCGUGGGAUAGGCAGAGUGAAUUCUUCUUGGGAUUUCUUGAUUGGCGCCAAACUUAAAGAACUUUAAGUUCGGUGUGGAGGAGGCAGCGUGUCUUUCUUGGAAUUUUUGUUUUGACGCCGAACUUGAAUAAACUCAAGUUCGGCAUGGGAGUGGCAGCAAGUUCUCAUUUGCCUGUCCUUGGCUCCAACUCUGUCAAAUUCAUCCAUAACGCUACCUUAAAUAAACAGAAUUGCACACAACUCAAAGUAGCGUCCAUAGUAGCUAAAAUAUGUUAAAUCUUGAUCAAACUUUAGUAAUUCAAAUGCAAAUUCACUAGGAAAAGAUAGAGAAGAUGCUCACGCAUCAGCAGACCCGUGCCUCGACCCAAUCCGGUCCGCUUGUUAGCUCCGCUGCGUCAUCGCUGAUGUGUUUUCCUCCUCCAUUCAGACACUGCCACGUGUCCUUCAUUGGAUGAUAUGGCUUCGACAUGUCCUUCAUCACCCUCUAUUGAAUGUCGCAAAUGUAAACAGAAAGGUCACAUUAGCUACAAUUGUCCAACACUAUUAUGCCAUUAUUGCAAGCUUUUGGGUCAUUUGAUUACUACCUGUCCUAUUCACCUACAAUGUUCAUAUCAGAACAAGUAUCAGUCUAGUUCCAACUACACUAAUCAGAAUGUACCUGCUUCUACUACUGCUGCUGCUACUGAAUCCAUUAACUCUGCUUCUCUCAAUCCACAUUCUAUCUCUCCAUCCAACAUUGUGUCUUUUCUUAAGGUGCUUCUCUCCUUUUCUAGUAAUACCUCUACUAUUCUUUCCACUUCUCCAGGUAAUUCUAAAUGGUAUUUUGAUUCUGGUUACUUUAACCACAUGUCUCCUUUGCAUCUUCCUUUUUCGUCUUUAUCUACCACCACAAAUGCACCUUCUAUUAACAUUGUUGAUGGUUCUCUUUUGCAUGUGACACAUAAGGGUUUUAUUUCACAUUCCAAUCUUAAUCUCCCUAAUACUUACUUUAUUUCAAAAUUAAAUUUUAAUCUAUUAUCUGUUGGUCAACUUGCUGAACUCGGUUUUGAGAUCAAUUUUUCAAUUUCUGGUUGUCGUGUGCAGGAUCGUUGGAUAGGACAUAUCAUCGAGAUUGGACGUAAGGGUCGGAAGGUUGUUUGAGCUCGAAUCUCUGUGCUGUUUCUUCCCCGUCUACCAUUCACUUGUGGCAUCACCGUCUUGCCCACAGCUCCUUAGGAAAAUUGUGUCCUAUUGUGUCAAAUGGUGUUUUGGGUUAGGUUACUAAUAAGUCUUUUGAUUGCAUUUCUUAUCAAACUACCAAACAACCUGCUUUAUCUUUUCACAAUAAUCCAUCUCUUGCUUGCUCUCCUUUUGAUCUUAUCAACUCUGAUGUUUAGGGCCCUACUCCCACUGCUUCUAUGGGAGGGGCUUGAUACCUUAUAGUUUUUGUUGAUGAUUAUUUACGCUUUACUUGGGUUUAUUUGAUUACUAAUCCUCAUGAGCUACCUCAGAUUUAUAUUAACUUUGCCAUUAUGAUUAAAACUCAAUUUUCCAAGGUCAUUAAAAUUUUUUGACGUAAUAAUGCUAUAGAAUACCGUGACUCCAAACUUUUAAAUUUUCUUGCUGAGCAGGUUACUUUGUUUGAGUUUUCUUGCCCUAGUACAUCUUAACAAACUGGAAGAGCUGAGCACAAACACCGUCACAUUCUUGACUUUGUUCGUGCAAUGCUUAUUUCUUCUUCGUGUCUUGAGCUUACUUGGGGUAAAGCUGUUCUCAUUGCUGUCCAUGUUAUUAAUAGACUCCCUUCUUCUGUCCUUGGUAACAUUACUCUCUUUGAGCAUCUUUAUCAUACUCCUCUAGAUUACAGUUCUCUCCGAGUUUUUAGUUGUGUCUGUUUUGUUAUUCUUCAACCUCAUAAAUAUAGUAAACUUGAACCUCGGGCUCGCAUGUGUUGUUUUCUUAGUUAUGGCACUAAAUACAAGGGUUAUCAUUGUUGGGAUCCUCUUUCUAGACGUAUUCAUAUAUCUCGUCAUGUUGUAUUCUGGGAGCAUCACAUAUUUUCUAAGUUCUCUUCAUUUGAGUCAAUUCCUUCUACUUAGUCACCGUUUUUUACAAACCCUACUGUUGAUCUUUUUCCAGUGAUGAUUUUACAGGUUCUAUCUCCAGUCAACCCCUCGAGCCUCCUACUCUUCCGCUUUUUCUAUCUCCUGAUGAUUCCAUACCGCAUGAUGAUCCUGCUCCUGCUGUCAUGCCUCCUCCCUCCAAUUGUUCUUCUAGGGUAAGAAAUCCACCUCAUCAUCUUGUUGAUUAUCAUUGUUUUUCUACUAUUCUUCAUCACCAUAAACCUCGGUCAUUCUGAAAAGCCUCCACAAAUCCAAAUUGACAGUAAGCAAUGCAGGAAGAAAUCCUAGCACUUGAAAAAGUACACACUUGGGACUUAGUUGAUCCUCCUUCUAAUUAGGAAAUUGUAGGUAGCAUAUGGGUAUAUAAGAUCAAGACUCGCUCUGAUGGUUCUAUUGACCGUUAUAAAGCACGAUUAGUUGUUUAAGAAUGUACACAAGAGUAUGGUAUUGAUUAUGAAGAGACUUUUGCUCCUGUUGCUCGUCUCACCUCUGAUCGCAAUCUCCUUGCCAUUGUUGCGGUCAAAAAAUGGUCUCUCAGUCAGAUGGACGUGAAGAAUUCAUUUUUUAAUGGAAAUUUGAAAAAUAAUGUCUAUAUGAAACAAACUUUGGGAUAUCCUUUCCCUUCUAGCAAAGUCUGUCUCCUUCUUAAGGCACUUUAUGGUCUUAAGCAAGCUCCUCGUGAAUGGUUUGAGAAGUUCAGCACCAGUAUAUCCAAUCUCGGUUUCACUUGCAGUCCUCAUGAGAAUGCUCUCUUUAUUUGUAAAAGUGAACAUGGAGUUGUUCUUCUACUUUUGUAUGUUGAUGACAUGAUCAUUAUUGGAGAUGAUGUUGAUGGUAUCUCUAAUCUUAAAGCAUUCCUUCACCACACUUUUGAGAUGAAAGAUCUUAGUUCUCUCAGUUAUUUUUUUGGCCUUGAAGUGAUAUCCUCAGAUGAUGGCAUCUAUCUCUCUCAAGUUAAGUAUGCUUAUGAUCUUCUUGCUCGAACCAGAAUUACAGAUAGUCGCACUGAGUCUGCUCCUCUUGAGCCUAAUGUUCGGUUUACUCCUAUGGAUGGCACUGUUUUGGAUAACCCUACUCUUUAUCGACAGUUAGUUAGAGGUCUCGUCUACUUGACUAUCACAUGACCAGACAUCGCUUAUCCAGUUCAUGUUCUUAUUAGUCAGUUCUUGUCAGCUCCUCGUACUACUGAAUAUGCUGCAGUUCUUCGUAUCCUUUGCUACAUCAAAGACACUCUAUUUCAUGGUCUUCAUUUUUCUGCCCAUUCAUUCUUAACCCUUCAGACGUACUCAAAUGCUGAUUGGGUUGGUGAUCCCACUGAUCGUCGUUCUACUACUAGUUAUUGUUUGUUUUUUGGUGACUCUCUCAUUUCCUGGUGAGCCAAUAAACAAACAUUCACUGCUCGAUCAAGCACCGAAGCUGAAUACUGUGCUCUUGCUGAUACCACUACUGAGGUUGUCUCGAUUCGUUGGCUUCUUGAAGACUUGGGUGCUCCUCAAUUGUCCCCGACUGAUGUUUUUUGUGACAACCGCAGUGCUAUUCAGAUUUUCCAUAAUGAUAUUUUUUAUGAGCGCACCAAACACAUUAAGAUUGAUUGUCACUUUGUCUGACAACGUCUCCUCAUUAAUGUUGUUCGUCUCAUAGCAGUUGGGACUCUGGAUUAAACUGCUAAUAUCUUCACGAAGGCUCAUCAUCCUACUCAUUUUCAGACUCUAGUAUCCAAACUUAAAAUAGUAUCGUUAACUCCCACUUGAGUUUGAGGGGGAGAAAGUGUUAGAGUAUAAUUAAGAUGAAUUAGAAUCGAUUAACAUCAAGUAUAAUUAUUUAGCAUAUCUAUUUAUUGUAUGAUAUUAUGUUUUUAUUAUCUUAAUUCUUCUAGUACAUAUAUACUCUUGUAUGUUGUAUCAUUUUCAAUUCACUUAAAAAUACACAUAUACUUUUCUCAAUUUAAUCUCUUGUUUCUAACCCAACAAUUUUAAUUCGUAGUUUUAGAUGAUUAAAUAUAUAGACGUAUAAAUUUUUCAAAAUCUGACCGAUGGUUGGUGGGACUUUGGAAAUUGGAAUAAUAUACUAUUGUUGUUCUUUUCUUUUCUCAUGUUUCCAACUUGUAUAUUGGUGAGUUUGGAUUUUUAGCUUGUAUUCCACUUUCAGAUAUUUUUUUAAUGAGAUUUUGGAUGUCAUUUUUCUAGUAUUUGAUUUUGGAUAUUCACUAUGAUGGUUUGAAUUCUAAAGUUUUUAAUGUUUUAACUUAACAUAAAUGAAUUAGAUAUUCUUCAUUUGGUUUUUCAUUUUGACUAUUUGGAUUUUUUGAACGUGUANNNNNNNNNNNNNNNNNNNNNNNNNNUUUAGAAUUUUUUAAUUUUAAAUUUUUACCCUAAUUUUAUUAAUUAUUUAUUUUUUUUAACUCAUUGGCGUAAGGCUACUGAAUAGUUGCUAGGAUGUUGUAAAUGUGAAGAAUAAAAAUAAUAAUCUCGUCCAUACAGUAAUUCAUUGGCCAAUGACAGAUCUUUAAAUAAAGUUUCGAUCCGCAACAGAUUAGUCGUUAGUCUGUCGGGUUAGGAAAUACCAUGGACCACAAAAAAUAUUUUAGUACACUAAAAAUUAUAAUAUUUUUAAAAUUAACUAAAAAUUAAUUAAUCCCAUACUAGUUGUACUCAAAAGUUAUUUGCUAUUUCAAAUUAUGGUUGGUUGUGUUGUUGGUACGUUGGAUUUUGGUAGGUUUGUUAGUUUUGGUAUGGUUGAUUGUGGUAAAUUUGGGUUUGGUAAGGUUGAUUUUGUUGGGAUUAGUCCCACUUUUGUUUAAAAUUGUCUCGCCAUCUUCUUGUAGUUGUGGACAUUCAUCGAUAUAAUAAGAGUUGAUUACAUGCAUAAAUUUCAUACACUCUAAGCAAUCCUUUAAGUUGAAAAGGUGGUAUUGAUCCUUAAAUUCGAGGGAACUCUUGUUGAUCUUGAUGGAUUUGUCGAAGCAAUGAGGUCAUCUGAUCUCUCCAAGAAUUCUUGUUAAGGCGAAUUGUCGAAUAAAGAUACUUCAACAAUAGCUCUUGAAUAGGAAGUUUUUGUCUUGAGGUGUCAUGUUGCUUCUGCUAAAUCUGAGAUCACUUGCUAUGCUUUCUUCGGUGUCUUGUGGCAAGUGCUGCUCCACUAGAUGCAUCAAGCGAAGCCUUAUCCUCCAUAUGUAACUCCUCGCAAAAGUAGUUGAUAAGUACAAAUUUUUAAUUUGAUGGCAUGAGGAACAAAGCUUCUUAAACCUCUACUAAUAUUUAUAGUGUCCCUUCAUGCAUUUGAGUGAUUCUAGAAAUUUCUUUCCUUAUACAAUUAGUCAUUCAGGAUGGAAAGAAUUUCUUAGAAAAUGUCUUUUUGAACAACUCCUAAUUGGCAACUACCUCUUUUAAUAUUCUUAUAGUGAAAUGUUGUUUUGCCACUAACAAUGAAGUAGUGCUAUUGAUCCAGUUUAGGAGGGGGGGAGAACUAGGUCACAACUAAAGAUCCUUCUAGGAAAUGGUUAUUUUUGGGUUGGCAGUGUUAGUUUUGGGUUGGGUUGGUUGACAUGGUUCAUGAAAAAAAAAAAAUCAUAAAAGGAGGAAUGUAGUUUAGUUAAUAUAUCUAAAAUUUCUAUCUUUAUUAGAUAUUCUCUUCGCAUCCAGAUUUAAAUUUUCUAGGCAAGGAGUAAUUUGGCAAAACACAAACAUAUGAUCGUGAUUAUUAUGUUAAAAUAUAUUACUACAUCCAAAGAUUAGAGUAUUAGACCACUUUAAUUAUAACCCCUGAAAGUUAUAUCACUUUUCAACAAAGAUACGUGAUAAAUUUCAAAAAUAGGGGUGGUGCAAAAUAAGGUGUACCAAUCUUUGCAUGUCUCAGUGCUAAAGAUUCUUGAAAUUAGAGAAUUAAUGCGGCUGGAUUUCUCAAAGACAAUGAUUCUCAUUUCAAUACUCUUUUUCUAUAUAUUGAGCAUAUGUAUCAUGGAAAAUCAUCUUCAUUUGAAUCAUAUAAAGAAGCUUUGAGAAAUGCAAACAUCAUAAGAUAUUUGAAUUCAAUGCAAGUGUAUGUUAGUAGACUAUGAUGCUAUUCUUCUACACAUCCAAAAAAUUUUAAAUACUCAUAAUUCUCCUAUACUUAUUUAUGGAGGCUUUUAUGGUGAAAUGCUUGGAGCAUUGUUUUGUCUAAAGUAUCUUUAUAUUGUUCUUAGUGUUUUGACUUUGCUAAAAUCAAUUUUUUUUUUUUAUUAAAACAAGUGAAAGGUACUACCAUAUUAUACGAAAAUUUUGGUAUAAAAUUGAUGAAAUAGCCAGAAAAUAUCCUGGCCUCUUAAUUCUGAAUAAGAGAUUUCAUAUUUGCAAAAAAUUGAGAAAAGUUGAAGUUACAAAAAAUAUUUGAACCAUGUAUAUUACACCAUAGUUUAGUAUAAUAUACCAUUAGUUGAGAGAAUAUGUAGUGUUAUUAAUAAAGCAACUAAUAAAACAUAUAUGAUUGGUUAAAUAUUUGAAAUUGUUAUAGUUUAUAAUCACUACAAAAUUCUUCAUGCUAUGAUAUAAAUAAAUCUGAUUAUCUAAACAAACAAUUUUUAGAUGACUUAACAUGGAUUGAUAAGCAUAUAGUAAGAUGUUGGUCCAAUUAGUAUUUAUAAGAAUGAUUCAAUGUUUUGACUGUAUCCUUUUAGUAAGAAGGAUUAUAUCAAUUCAUGCAAGUAAGAAUAUGGCAUAAUUCUGCUGUCCCAUUAGGUAACAACAUAUUAUGGAGUCAGGAUAUAAAAUUGGUUUUCCAGCGAUUUGCUAACUAUAUCGUUUUCUCUAAUAGAUUGAAAGAUCCAUACAGCUCAGUCAGGGUGUUAGAGAGCUUAUCAAACAGUCUUAUUACUGUUAUCAAUAUUAAUGGAAUUCAUUCUUUGACAUAGUCUCAUCACAAUAAAGUAAUCCACAAUAGUUGAUCAAUCAAAGAUACACUAAGAUCAAUAUAAUUACAAGUUGGAUUGCACAACAUCAAGUUGAUCGAUUAAUUAGUUAAUAAAAUAAAUAAAUAAACAAAUAAUGAUAAAAGCUUUUUAUCAUUACUAAUUUAUUUAUUUAUUAACCAAUUAAUUGAUCAAUUUGAUGAUGUGCAAUCUAACUUAUAAUUAUAUUGAUCUCAGUGUGUCUUUGAUUAAUUAACUAUUGCGGAUCAUUUCGUUGUGCUAAGAGUACGUCUAAGAAACGAGUCUCAUUAACAAUUAUAACACCAAUAAGACUAUUUGAUAAACUCUCUAACACUCAGAUUGAACUGUAUGAAUUUUUCAAUUCAUUAAAAAAAACGAUAUAACUAGCAAAUUACUUGAAAAUCAGUUUUAUAUCCUGACCCCAUAAUAUGUUUUUUAGCCAAUAGGGUAGUGAAAUUAUGCCAUAUUCUUGCUCAAAUGAAUUGCUAUAAUCUUUCUUAUUAAAAAGAUACAAUUAAAACAUUAAAUUAUUCUUAUAAAUACUAAUUGGACUAACAGCUUGCUACAUGCUUAUCAAUCUAUAUCAAAUCAUCUAGAGAUUAAUUGUUUGUUUGGAUCAUUACAUCUAUUUAUAUCAUGGUAUGAAUUUUUUUUAUAAUGAUUAUAAACUAUAACAGUUUUAAAUAUUUGACUAAUCAUAUGUUUUAUUAGAUACUCUAUCAAUGACACUAUAUAUCCUCUCAACUAAUGGUGUAUUGUACUAAGCUAUAAUGCAAUACACAUGAUUCAAAUAAUUUUUCAUAACUUUAAUUUUUUUUUAAUUUUUUGCAAAUUUUAAAUCUCUUAUUGAGAAUAUAGAGACCAAGAGGCUUCUUGGUUAUUUUAUCAAUUUUAUACCAAAAUUUGUAUAGUACGGUAGUACCUUUCAUUUAUUUCUAUUAAAAUAAAAAAUUGGUGCUAACGAAGCCAAAUUACUAAGAGCGAUAUGAAGAUACUUUAGACAAAACAAUAGUACAAGCAUUUCACCAUAAGAGUCUCCAUAAACAAGUAUAGAAGAAUUAUGAGCAUUUAAAAAUUUUUUAGAUGUGUAGAAAAAUAGCAUUAUGGUUUACUAACACUUGCGUUGAGUUCAAAUAUUCCAUGGUAUUUGUAUUUCUCAAAGCUUUUUUAUAUGAUUCAAAUAGAAAUAAUUUUCCAUAAUACAUAUGCUCAAAAUAUAGAAAAAGAAUACUGAAAUGAGAAAUAUUAUCUUUGAAAAAUCCAACAGCAUUGAUUCUAUGAUUUCAAGAAUCUUCAGCAUUUAGCCAUGCAAAGAUUGAGGCACCUAAUUUUACACCACCUCAAUUCUUAAAAUUUAUUACGUACCUUUGUUAAAAAAUGAUAUAAUUUUUAGGAUUAUAAUUAAAAUGAUCAAAUCUUUGGAUGUAGUAAUAUAUCUUAACAUUAUCAUCAUGAUCAUAUAUUUGUGUUUUGCUAAAUUAUUCCUUGCAUAAAAAAUUUGAAUCUAGAUGCAAAAAAAAUGUCUAAUAAAAAUAAAAACUUCAGAUAUAUUAACUAAGCUUUCUUUUUAUGAUUUUUUUUGUUUUUGUUUUUUUGUAAUGACUAUGUCAACAAACCCAACUUGAAACUAACUUUGCCAACUUGAAAAUAACCUUACUCCAGAAGGAUCUUUAGCUAGUUGCAAUCCGAUUCUCCCUCGGCUCCUGAACUCGAUCAAUAGCACAACUCCAUUAUUGUUGGUGGCAAAACAACAUUUAAUUUCGCGCUUGAACUCGCUUGAGCUCCGUCGCCAGCUUCUUUUGAAUUUAUCGCUAGUUUGAUCGUUUUCCACUAAUGUCUACUCCAGAGUUUCCUUGCUCCUCUAAUAUGUCAGCGUGCGGGUUCGUAACUAUUUAAAAGUUUUGUAUUGGCCGAAAUUUGAAUAGGAGACUUGACGGAUGGAGAGCAGCUUAACAGCUUUUUGUUGUAUGUUAUGCUGCAGUUGGUAGCAGUACUCGUUAUUGGUUUUCUAGCAAGAUUGUAAUCAGAAACAAAUAAUUUAUUAAUUUUUUUUAACAAGACAAUCAUGUGGCGUCAGGUGUAAAGCUAAAAACCUAUGCGUCUAGUGUGUGAGACUAACUUAGAUUAUUUAGUUUCCUGUAACAAUGGUAUAUAUCAUCGUCAUAUAUAGUGCAACUAACAUAAGAAAGAGUUAGUACACAAUUAUUCUUCUUCUUAAAAGACCCUAACAUAGUAUAAUAAUUAUAAUAUAUAUCUUAUAAGACAAAUAUUUUCUUUUUAUUUCUAAAACUCCAAUGAUCUAAGAAAANNNNNNNNNNNNNNUGUUAUAAAAAAGAUACAAACAACGUUUUUCUCUACUUUGGUUUAUGAAUAAUAUUUUCUCCACUUUUAAGGGUAUAUAUGACUAGAUCUAUGCAGUUAUUCAACAUAGUAGUAAUUUUACGAGGUUCACAUUAACAUGCAUAAGUAGGGAAGGAAGUUACCUGUAAAAGUAUACACGAGUGAGCUCAGUUCAGAUCAGAAUUAUCAAACGAACGCUUCCAACUCUUUCUCAGCAAUUACAAUAAGCUCUCUCCUCUUCAACAAAACACAAGGAAGAAAUGAGCAGAGAGAUGUUGUUUGUUUUAGUAAAGUGUUUCUGGGUUCUCCAUUGUUAUUAUUAGGUGAAGAAGAAUUAAGAGGGGGGAGGGAGUGAGUUGGUGUGAGUGUGUCAGUGAGCACUCUUUGAAUCAUGUGACUUGUUCAGCUAUUCCAAUUUAAC